rnacentral:rRNA from 1 species
UUGAGCGGAGAUUAUGGAGCUUGCUUUAUAUAACUUAGCAGCGAACGGGUGAGUAACACGUAGAUAAUCUAUCCUAUACUGGGGGAUAGCCCGAUGAAAGUUGGAUUAAUACCGCAUAUAGCUAUAUAGUUGCAUGAUUAUGUAGUGAAAGAUUUAUUGGUAUAGGAGGAGUCUGCGGCACAUUAGCUAGUAGGUGAGGUAAAGGCUUACCUAGGCGACGAUGUGUAGCCGGUCUGAGAGGAUGAACGGCCACAAUGGAACUGAGACACGGUCCAUACUCCUACGGGAGGCAGCAGUGGGGAAUAUUGCACAAUGGGGGAAACCCUGAUGCAGCAACGCCGCGUGAGUGAAGAAGGUUUUCGGAUUGUAAAGCUCUGUUAGCAGGGAAGAGGAAGGACGGUACCUGCAGAGGAAGCCACGGCUAACUACGUGCCAGCAGCCGCGGUAAUACGUAGGUGGCAAGCGUUGUUCGGAAUAACUGGGCGUAAAGGAUGCGUAGGCGGUUAAACAAGUUAUAUGUUAAAUAUAUAGGCUUAACCUGUAGAAAGCAUAUAAAACUGUUUAACUAGAGUGCAGGAGAGGUAAGUGGAAUUCCUAGUGUAGCGGUGAAAUGCGUAGAGAUUAGGAAGAACACCAGUGGCGAAGGCGACUUACUGGACUGUAACUGACGCUGAGGCAUGAGAGCAUGGGGAGCAAACAGGAUUAGAUACCCUGGUAGUCCAUGCUGU